rnacentral:tRNA from 1 species
UUUUAGGGAGACCCGCUUUUGAAUUUGUGCUCAACAGUUUGCAAAAACUGAUGAGUGAAUCAAAAAACUCAAAAGUCAUCCCGAGGUCGGUCGCAAGAAUAGUGUAAGCUUUCAAACUAUAAGUCAGGUUCGGAUAUGGGCUAUUAGCUCAGGUGGUUAGAGCGCACCCCUGAUAAGGGUGAGGUCCCUGGUUCGAGUCCAGGAUGGCCCACCUGAAGUCAAUUCAAAAAUCAAACAGAAGUAAUUUUUGUUGUGAAUUGAAUUGUUGUAGGGGGGUAUAGCUCAGUUGGUAGAGCGCCUGCUUUGCAAGCAGGAUGUCAGGAGUUCGAGUCUCCUUACCUCCACCUGCGUCCCAAAGUAAUUUUGUUUCUGAUUUCACAUUGAGUGUGCUCAAGUUCCAGUAAAGGAAACAAGAGUGCACACAAGUGAGAGAAGUAAAAUUGUUAUCCAAAAAUAAAGUGGAGAAAAUUCAGCAUCUUGUGAUAGAAAGCAAGAAUGCUGGGAGAGUUUCCAGCAAAAGAACCUUGAAAACUGCAUAGAAACGCGAAAAAUGUCAGGUAGUUAACUAUCAACAACAGUUAACACUCCAAGCAAGAACAGCAAUGACUGUUUGU